rnacentral:lncRNA from 1 species
GAACUUACUUUAAAUAAAGCUAAUACUAACAAUGACCACUGCCCUUUUCUCGAUCUUGAUAUCUAUAUCACUAAUGGAAAGCUGAAUAUUAAAAUUUAUGAUAAAAGGGAUGAUUUUUCAUUUCCUAUCGUUAAUUAUCCGUUUUUAGAUGGUGACGUUCCCUUGUCACCAUCUUACGGUGUUUAUAUAUCUCAACUUGUACGAUUCGC